rnacentral:rRNA from 1 species
UACGGGGGGGGCAAGCGUUGUUCGGAAUUACUGGGCGUAAAGGGCGAGUAGGCGGCUCGCUAAGUUGGAUGUGAAAACUCUGGGCUCAACCCAGAGCCUGCAUUCAAAACUGACGGGCUAGAGUUCUGGAGGGGAAAGCGGAAUUCCUGGUGUAGCGGUGAAAUGCGUAGAUAUCAGGAGGAACACCGGUGGCGAAGGCGGCUUUCUGGACAGAAACUGACGCUGAUGCGCGAAAGCUAGGGGAGCAAAC